rnacentral:rRNA from 1 species
UAUUGGUCAAUGGGCGUAAGCCUGAACCAGCCAAGUCGCGUGAGGGAUGAAGGUUCUAUGGAUCGUAAACCUCUUUUAUAAGGGAAUAAAGUGCGGGACGUGUCCCGUUUUGUAUGUACCUUAUGAAUAAGGAUCGGCUAACUCCGUGCCAGCAGCCGCGGUAAUACGGAGGAUCCGAGCGUUAUCCGGAUUUAUUGGGUUUAAAGGGUGCGUAGGCGGCCUUUUAAGUCAGCGGUGAAAGUCUGUGGCUCAACCAUAGAAUUGCCGUUGAAACUGGGGGGCUUGAGUAUGUUUGAGGCAGGCGGAAUGCGUGGUGUAGCGGUGAAAUGCAUAGAUAUCACGCAGAACCCCGAUUGCGAAGGCAGCCUGCCAAGCCAUUACUGACGCUGAUGCACGAAAGCGUGGGGAUCAAACAGGAUUAGAUACCCUGGUAGUCCACGCAGUAAACGAUGAUCACUAGCUGUUUGCGAUACACUGUAAGCGGCACAGCGAAAGCGUUAAGUGAUCCACCUGGGGAGUACGCCGGCAACGGUGAAACUCAAAGGAAUUGACGGGGGCCCGCACAAGCGGAGGAACAUGUGGUUUAAUUCGAUGAUACGCGAGGAACCUUACCCGGGUUUGAACGCAUUCGGACCGAGGUGGAAACACCUUUUCUAGCAAUAGCCGUUUGCGAGGUGCUGCAUGGUUGUCGUCAGCUCGUGCCGUGAGGUGUCGGCUUAAGUGCCAUAACGAGCGCAACCCUUGCCACUAGUUACUAACAGGUGAUGCUGAGGACUCUGGUGGGACUGCCAGCGUAAGCUGCGAGGAAGGCGGGGAUGACGUCAAAUCAGCACGGCCCUUACAUCCGGGGCGACACACGUGUUACAAUGGCGUGGACAAAGGGAGGCCACCUGGCGACAGGGAGCGAAUCCCCAAACCACGUCUCAGUUCGGAUCGGAGUCUGCAACCCGACUCCGUGAAGCUGGAUUCGCUAGUAAUCGCGCAUCAGCCAUGGCGCGGUGAAUACGUUCCCGGGCCUUGUACACACCGCCCGUCAAGCCAUGGGAGCCGGGGGUACCUGAAGUCCGUAACCGAAAGGAUCGGCCUAGGGUAAAACUGGUGACUGGGGCUAAGUCGUAACAAGGUAGCCGUACCGGAAGGUGCGGCUG